AGAUUGAGGAUUGCAACGAAUACCUUUCGAGGCUAUUCGCCUGAUCUCUGGAAGUCACUUUGGUAUCGAAAGCGUGCUUUCGGUAUUGAGGAUGGUGACCAAAAGGUUAGAGCGUGAUUAAAUUCGUUAAGGAUGUUGACGUAAUGGCUUUAAACGA
rnacentral:rRNA from 1 species